CCAAGGUGAACAGCCUCUG
rnacentral:ncRNA from 3 species